GCGGAAGCUUUGCUUGUUGUCGUAUUAUUUUAAAAUCAAUUGUAUUUUUUGAAAACGCUCCCUAAAGCUAUCCAAUUUCAACAGUUAAAAUAAGUAAUACCUAUCUUAGUAAUACAUAUUAAAACUAUCAAAAAUAAUUAAGCGACCUUAUUACAUUUAAAAAACCCAAAACUUCAAACGUAAAUAAAAGGAUGUCCAGUUCACCAGAAGAAAACCAAACUUUCAGAACGGGUGGCCACUUCGAAUUCCCUCACAGCUUCAAGCCCACUAUAGUUAAGGAUUUCCUGCGUGGAUGAAAAUAAAAGGGGUGAGUUUAAGAAAACUCAGUGUGUAAAGAAAACCUAUUCAAAGCCCAAGUCAGCUCAAGCCUAUUGGGCCUAAGCCCAUUUAGGUAACAGUGGUACUGGACCAGAGCCCUUUUCAGAUUACAAUAAACUGGGCCUUAGCCCCUUAUUCAGAUAACAGUAUGGCCCAUAGGCCCAUUUCAAAAUACAUGUAACAUCAAUAACAUAUGCAAGCCCAUUUGGGGAGACUACUCAACCCACCAACCACUACACUCCACCCGUACCAGCCAUACACUCCAUGUGGGGAAUAGCUCAACCCACCUAACCCAACACUCCACAGUUGCAGCCUUGCUGCUCAGUUAGCAGUAAAUUGAGGCAAAGCCUCCAGUACGUGGACAAGCCACUUUCAGUACUUCCUCCGUCAAUAUCUCAAUCCCAUGCAUCAGAUAAUAACAUGGCAUGCAGUAAAUAACAACAGCCAAACAUGCAUUUAGGUCAAUUUAACCCUAGGGGUAUUUCGGUAAUUUAUCUACUAGGGGUAAAACUGUAAAUUUUCCAUUUUUAAAGGUAUUUUAGUAAUUUAUCUAUUUUAGAGUUUUUCAUGCAUAUUCCUACUUUUCACGUACUAACAGAAUCACGUACCGAGUGUUCUUACCGAAUUGGGCCUGUUGGCCCAUCAUUUCAAUUUUGGCCCAUUAAGCCCAGAAAUAUCGAGGGCACAGAAAUAAUACAUUUCACAGUCCAAAUUUUGUAGCUUACCAAAAACAUUAAUCGAUUUACCUCACGAGCAUUUGCAUACUCGUAAAUUUACAAAAUACUAGUUUUCAGCAUUUUGAUUUGUCAACUUUUGUCGAUCCAGACUAAGAAAGAGGGUGUUAGUUACAUACUUGUUUGCGACGAUAUGCUGAUGAGAUCUACACACGAACCGCCUACAAUUGGAUUACUAACACGUUAAUCUAACUAUUCAAAUACAAACUACGUAUUAACCCCUUACAAUAUUCGGCCAACCACACCUACAGAUCAUAGUAAGCUUAUAAGAAAUCAAUAAGCAACUCAUUAACAAAUUUUUGUCAAUGUUAACCACAUAAUCAUAAUUUCACUGCAAGCUGUCUUCUUGAGAAAUAGUCACUAAAUCAUUUAUAACUGGUGCUACAAAACUCCAAAUCAAGUGCCGUUAAUUUUCCCUGAAAAUACUCAUAUAUCUUAUAUCCAUAAAAUUUUCAGAAUUUUUGGUUUGAUCAAUCAAUACCAGAUAUUUCUCAAAGUUUCGCAUGUUUCACUGUUUGACUAAUCUGACCACUCUUCAUUACGAAUCAAAUUUUUCAUUGUACAGAAUUCAAAAUAUGUUCUCGUUUAUUUCAUUUGAAACUAGAUGCAAUAAGCUUUAAUUACAUAAUUUAUUCAGCUUCUAAUUCAUCUCCCACAAUUUAUGGUGAUUUUCCAAAGUCACGUUACUGCUACUGUCCCAAGCAGAUUUAUUACCAAAUUCACUCUUUCACACAUAACAUGUAUAUCACCAAUCAAUCAUCACAUAUCUAUGAUUUUACUUAAGUAUAAUCUCAAUUUCAUCAUUUUAAAGCACAUGUUAGCCGAUAUUUCCCCUUAGCAUCUAAGGCACAUACAUGCUCAUUUGUUUGGCUCAACUUCACCUAUCUUUCAUUUUUUAUCAAAAGAACAUGAAACAACAACCAUUUCCUUCGUUUUAAUUCAUGACUAAAUGCUCACAAUACAACUAAAAACUAAAAUAUGCUUCAAGAGUUAAGGUAGAAUCAAGAACUCAUGAACCUCAAAAUAAAAAUAAACUACCAUGAACUUACCUUCAAUUUUUCUUCCCCAAGUGACCGAACAUUCAAGAGCUUUCUCUUCUCCUUUCUCUUCUCCAACUUUAGGCUAUAAUGAACAAAGAUGGACAAAACUUUAUUCUUUUCACCCCUUUUUCUUUUAAUAAAAUUUAAUAUUUCAUUUAUUUAAUUCUUUAAUACAAAAGAUAUGAAAUUUCCAUCAUGAAAUAUUUAUUUAACCCAUUAUCAUGAAACAUUUACCUAACCCAUUAUCAUGGAACAUUUACCUAACCCAUUAUCAAUUUGUACCAUGAAUUAUAGAUAUCAAGUGUUCAUAUUGUCUACAACAACAUGAUGGCUGACUACUUCAUAUAAAAUGAGAGGUUUGUCAUGCAAAUCCUUCUAUUUUACACUAUUAUUUAUUUGGCCACUUCAAUUUAGCCUAUAGCAUUUUCAAACAUUUUUACAUAGGUCCUAUUUCAUAAUUUCACUCACAAAUGACAAAAUUAAAACAUAAAAUUUUGUCAACAUUCACAGAAUUCCCGAAAAUUGAAACGUUAAAGCAAACGAAAGAAAAAAUCUUUUCAAAAUCUUAAAGAUAGGAUCUAUUCGAGAAUUGAAGGACGGAGCUCCAGGUUACUAUCACAAGAAAGAAAGGAGGUCUUCAUUAAAUCAAUGCUUCAGGCAAUACCAACCUACGCUAUGUCAUUUUCUCUUUUACUGAAAUCAUUAUGUGAGGAGUUAGAAAAUAUUUUUUGCUAAAUUUUGGUGGCAAAAUGGCUAUGGAAAAAAAAAUACAUUGGUGUCAGUGGAAGCAUGUGUCAUCCUAAAGAAGAGGGAGGGAUAGGUUUCAGAAGUAUAAAUCAAUUUAAUAUAUCAUUAUUAGCAAAGCAAGAUGGAGGAUUUUAAAUACCCCAAACUCUUUAGUUGCGUAAGUACUUAAAGCGAAAUAAUUUCCGAAUGAGGAUUUUUUGAAUUCGCGUUUGGGAAACAAUAGUUCUUAUAUAUGGAAAAGUAUAUGGGCGACAAAGGGCAUCUUGGCAGAAGGACUUUGCUGGAAGGUGGGUAAGGGCACGAAUAUUUCAGUUAUUAAUGAUGCUUGGAUUCCAGAUGCAAGAAAUUUCAGAUUAUCGUCGUUUGCUCAUAAUAUGUGAAAUUAUAAAGUUGCUGAGCUAAUUGAUAAUAAUGACAGAAAAUGGAAGCGGGAGUUGAUUGUCAAUACCUUUCCGGAGGAAGAAGCUGAAAAGAUCUUUCGUAUUCCUUUGGAGAAAGAACCUCAUGACGAUUUUUUGGUCUAGAGCGGUGAACCUUCAGGAGAAUACUCGGUUCGAACACCUAUAAACUAUUACAAAUUUCUGAAGAUCCUAGAGCUUAUGCUUUGCAAACCGACUACAGGAAGUUUUACAAAAAAACUCUAGCUCCUAAAUCUACCUUCAAAAAUUAAGAUUAGCGUCUGGAAAAUAUCAUGGAAUUAUUUGCCUACACGGGUUAACGUGCAGCAAAGGAGGCUAACAAAUAUUGUAAUUUGUCCUCGGUGUGGAAAAUGGGCAGAAACUAUGGAUCACCUUUUUCGCGAAUGUCCUGUUUUAGUGUAAGUUUGGACAGAAUUAUCAAUCCCGAAUUUUUUACAGGAAUCUAAUUUGGAGUUUCUACAGUGGCUCACCUGGGUUUUUACUCAGAACACUCCCUCUCAAUGUAGAAUAUUUUUUUGUGCGCUAUGGGCCAUUUAGGGAGAAAGGAACGCUAGAAUGCAUGAGAAGGUAAGCAGAACUGGGAAAGAAAUAGCUAGCUUUGUCAAUAGUUAUAUUACAAAACUAAAUGGGGUUGAAUAAAGAACCCCCAAAAUUUCGCAGGAAGUUAGAAAAUGGAAUUACCCACCUGGUCAGUAAAUAAAAUCAACUUUGAUGGAGCAUACGAUGGGCAACAUUUUCAAUUGGUUUCGGAGAUUGUGGCUAGAAAUAGCGAAGGGAAUGUUCUUCUAUCUUGUUCAGAAAUUCAUCAAGAAGUGGCCUCCGCCUUCACUCUGAAGCACUCGCUUGUCGCGAAGUAGCCCAAAUGGGAAUAUACAUGCGAUGGCCAAAGAUUGUUAUAGAAGGCGACUCAUUAUCAAUAAUGAAAAAGUGCAAGGCAGAAAAACAAGAUAAAUUGUAGGUAGGAGCAUAUAUACAUGAUAUUCAACAAAUAACAUCUAGAUCUAGAAACUUAGUGUUUGAAUAUAUUCCAAGAUCAGCAAAUGGUUUAGCACAUAUACUAGCAACUGAAUCGUUAAAAAAGGAGGAGGUGUACUUGUUAGAAAGCAUCCCUGGAUAUGCUAAAAACCAGAAAGAAUUUGAUAGAGUGCGAGAACCAGAUUGAAAACGGAUAGAGAAAAAAAGGAAGGAAGGAAAGUUUCAAAUGAGCAGAUCAAUGGUUUUGGUGAUAAAAGCUUUCGUUGGAAAACUUUAACCGUCUUUAAGAAGAAAUGGGAGAUUGAUAGACAAGACGGGCAUCAGUGUUCUUUGAUUGGGCAAAGUUGCGGUGAUAAUUAUGAGCUUCUAGACUAUUCUUAUUUUAUUUUCUUUUUAGAAAUUCUUUUUAAUUCGGGCCAUUUUUUAAUGUUGGGCCUUCUCUUCUGUUUUAGUUCUAUU
rnacentral:lncRNA from 1 species